GACACGACUCUCCGGCAAUGGAUAUCUCGGCUCUCGCAUCGAUGAAGAGCGCAGCGAAAUGCGAUACUUGGUGU
rnacentral:rRNA from 1 species